UUUCCGUAGGUGAACCUGCGGAAGGAUCAUUAUUGAAACUUCAUCCGGGGCGCCGCGGCCUCAGCACCGGUGGAGACGCCGUGUUGCGGGGGCCGCGCGUGCACUCGUCCAAACCAAACCCCUGUGAACCUUACGGGAUGGCCUGGGUUAGCGCCCGGUGCCGUUCCGCUUUAUACAAACACUUAUCAAAGAAUGAACUGAAGGCGGUCUGACCGCUGGAUAACAAGACUGAAACAACUUUCAACAACGGAUCUCUUGGCUCUC
rnacentral:misc_RNA from 1 species